GCUUAACCCACUGAGCCACCCAGGUGCCCCUAAGAUGCUCUGUUAUUGGAAGAUUUGUAUCAAGUUGUGGAAGUUUUGUAAUCUGGCUCUGAUGUGUACUUUAUGUUUCUUAUA